rnacentral:rRNA from 1 species
CCUACGGGUGGCAGCAGUAGGGAAUCUUUCACAAUGGGCGAAAGCCUGAUGGAGCAACGCCGCGUGCAGGAUGAAGGCCUUCGGGUUGUAAACUGCUUUUAUAAGCGAGAAAUAUGAUGGUAACUUAUGAAUAAGGAUCGGCUAACUACGUGCCAGCAGCCGCGGUCAUACGUAGGAUCCGAGCAUUAUCCGGAGUUGCUGGGUGUAAAGAGUUGCGUAGGUUGCAUAAUAAGUAGCUAGUGAAAUCUGGUGGCUCAACCAUUCAGACUAUUAGCUAAACUGUUAAGCUCGAGACCGUUAGGGGUAACUGGAAUUUCUAGUGUAGGAGUGAAAUCCGUAGAUAUUAGAAGGAACACCAAUAGCGUAGGCAGGUUGCUGGGACGGUUCUGACACUAAGGCACGAAAGCGUAGGGAGCAAACGGGAUUAGAUACCCCUGUAGUC